rnacentral:rRNA from 1 species
CCUACGGGGUGCAGCAGUGGGGAAUAUUGCACAAUGGUGGAGACCCUGAUGCAGCGACGCCGCGUGAGUGAAGAAGUAAUUCGUUACGUAAAGCUCUAUCAGUAGGGAAGAAAAUGAUGGUACCCGUGUCAGAAGCACCGGAGAAGUACGGGCCAGCAGCGGCGGUUAUACGUCAGGGGCAAGCGUUAUCCGGAUUUACCGGGUGUAAAGGGAGCGUAGUCGGUGCGCUGAGUCAGGAGUGAAAUGCCGCAGCUUAACUGCGGAACUGCUGUGGAAACUGGCGAACUAGAGUGCGGGCGGGGAAGGCGGAAUUCCUGGUGUAGCGGUGAAAUGCGUAGAUAUUAGGAAGAACACCGGUGGCGAAGG